UUUAUGAUUGUUCAUGCUUUAAAAUUGUGAUGUCAGAAUUUAAUAAAGUGUGCAGCAUUAGCUGUAGCAAAUCAUUGCUUAUGAAAUCUACUGUGUUAUCUAACAGCACCAAACUAAUAGAGCUAUCACAUAACUGAGAAACUUGUGUGGCUUAUUACAAAUGGAUGAAACCACAUAUUACCUUAAUGAAGACAGUAAUCUUUAAUAAGGUGUAGAAAAAAGAGGUGAGUUGUUUGUUGCUGUGGUAAACAAAGAAGUGUACUGGGUCUUUUGGACUGCACAGAGUGAUGCAGUAUUGACUGUGAUGUUGAUCUGAGUUGUCUCAUUCUGUAUUUUUGUGCUUUGUCUUUUGUUACACAGAGUGAAAGAGAUCUUUGGUUUUGCCUUUGCUGACUGCUGAUCUGAUCGUCUCAAGUCUGGUGACCUGCUGCAGAAGCUCUCUCCCUCUAUCAUUAACAAGCCAUUCAGUCUGUCCUAUCACUCUACCCACUCUAUCUAUUUUGACAAGACGUUCUAUCUUGCUUCACUCUAUCCCACAAGCUCUAUCUAAGUUAUCAAAAAUCACGUUUUUAAAUGGAAUCAAAUUUUGAAUGGAAUCAAGUUUUGUCUGGCGAAAUCAAGUUUUGACAUGGCCCCAUUUUUGGGAAAUUGAAGUUACCAGUACUUCAUCUGUCUGUUACAGAAUUCUGAGAGGUCUCUGCUCUCACUGCUCCUUCUUUCCUAUCGUUAAACUCUCUCACAUCCAGUCUUUUUGCUGGAAAUUACAAGUAGAAAGUUGAAGUUACAAUAGUAGAAUUACAGUACAGUAGAAACUACUUACACAGCCCUAGAUUUGUAAUUAAAAUUUUUAUUUGGAACACUUUGGAAUAAACACUGAUAGUUUGGCUUAGAGGUACAAUUACUUUGAU